rnacentral:misc_RNA from 1 species
AAGUCGUAACAAGGUUUCCGUAGGUGAACCUGCGGAAGGAUCCUCGCAUCAACGCUUGUAUACCAACAUUCAAACUCAAUGUGAAAUGUAACGUCCCUAAUUGUACUCGAGUCAAUUAAUUUAUUACUUGAUUCGGAUGCAGUUAGACAAUACCCAGUUAACUCUCUUGUGGUUGCUAUUAAAUUUACUUUAAUGGUGGCUGUCAGGUUUUAGCUUUACUCACCAUUUUUAACCCUAUAAACUAAAUGUUUGUCUUAUCUUCUUCAGACUGAAUAUUGAAAUGAGAUUGAGAAUUUAAUUUAUUUUCUGUUUCCUCUUUCUUCCUUUCAGCUUUGUUACGAAAUAUUGAACAACUCUUAGCAAUGGAUAUCUUGGGUCAU